UCUUGAGGCCUUUUUUUAAUGCCCCUUAAAGCAGUGGUUCUCAGCCAUUUCCUUACCGGGAUCCCGUUUUCUUUAGUGGGAGCCCCCUCCCAUGGAAGCCCCCCAACACCUAUUUGCCCACCCAGUUGAGAACCCCCAGCCUUAGAGAGCUGCAUGACUGUAUCAACAGGGCUUAUCUCCCAGUUACUGUUCUAGCAAUAGUGCAACCAGAUCUCAGGUUGGUCUGGCCCCAUCAAUAACUUUGUGUCCUGAGACCAGAGGGAAAAAAAUCCCCAGGAGAAGUACUACCUUGGAUCCAGAGAUCACAAGCAGAGUUUAACCACUUUCCCCAGCCCCUCUCACAGGCACAAGGACGAAUUUACGGCAAACUGAAGGAGGAAAACUUUUUUGGGCCUAAAGAAGAAGUAAAGCUAGAGACGCACAUUAGGGUCCCUGCUUCCGCCGCAGAGAGAGUUAUCAGAAAAGGAGGCAAAACUGUAAGUGAAAGCAAGGAGAAAGAGAGAAUCAGGACUGUAGGGAGGCGGGGUUAGGAGGCUGGUUCAUCCCCAGGUGUGGAAGCUUUGGAGGAUUGCCUAUUAUGGCUAGGAAGCAGUCACUGAGGGAGGAGAGGAGGGGAUGCUGUGAGGCAGACCUGGGUCAAGACUAUUGCUUGGAGGGGUUUUUUGCUGGUGCUUUUGUUUCCCAGCUCCUCUGCUGACCUGGCAGGGGAUUGUUCUCCUCCCUUGGCCCACAUACCAGUGUGGAAGGCAGAAGGGUCAGUUCAGGAGCAAGGAAGAAACAGCUCGUAACCCACAGGACAGGAUGGAGCAAGGGCUGGGCCACAGAGGAGGCGGGACUAUCUCAAGAUCCAAGGUUCAAUUGCUGCUCCCCUGGACAAGUAUCAAAGCAGAGAGGAGGCCGUCGGCGAAGGUAGCCUGUGAGCAUCCUUGAUUUCACAAGCUAGGCCCGGUUACUGUCCUCCUGUGAGGUGGGCAGCUCUCACACACUCUGAGCUCCAUGCAAAGCCCAGCAUGGUGGGUGGGAGUGAUAUUUUUAUUAUUUUUUGCCAGCUGGAGAAAUGCAAAAUCUGGGGGGCAGGUUUUUUGGUUUUUUUUUAAAUUCUUCUUCCUGAAAUGGUGCAGUAACCGGGUGGGCUCUGCCGCUUUCCUGUAGGUCAACGAACUGCAGAACCUGACGGCAGCAGAGGUGGUGGUGCCGCGGGACCAGACGCCUGAUGAGAACGAGCAAGUCAUUGUAAAAAUCAUUGGAUGUUUCUAUGCCAGCCAGUAACCAAGGAAGAGGUUAGCACUGCCCUGAGUCCCGUCUUCAGCCAAGGACGGUUGAGAAGGAACUGAGGGGGGUUCGGGACACGCACGCUCAGGCAGUCCCUGACGACGACACGAGACAGCAGCUAAGCGUGUGCGUCCCGACCAGGCACUGCUACCGAAAAUCUCCAAUCAACGGCACUGUCACCUGGAGUGGAGCACCGACAGGGACAGCAUUCGAAGAAGAAGAGAACCUUUCCUGAAAGCUCAGAGAAGGGUCUCCAUCCUCCACAGCGGUAGAUUUCCUGGAGGGAGGAGGAGUGGUUGGGCAAUUUACUACCCCUGCUGGUCAGUGUGGGAUCUUCCUGCUGAUAGAGCGGGCACACAGAUGAUGGCUCCUCAUUUUCCACUACUGGCAUCUUGUUUCUAGGAGUCUGACUAGGAAGCCUGCUUUGGUGCAAUGGGGGCCUCUCUGGAGGGCGAUGAUUAUCCCAUCACCGUAAAAUAUAAAAGAGACCAGUCAAUUUACAUCAGAUCCCGACAACCUCAUGGGGAUUUCCCCCCCAGGCACUCUCAAGAACCUCUGAAAUCCAGUGCUGUGGCGGUUAAGACAAACCCAGCGGCUGACCCUUUGGCUCCUGCUGCAUCAGAGGUAGGGCUAAGGCUCUCCUCUGAAGGAGGCAGAAGGUGCCACCCCUCCACUCCCUAGAAGAGACCUGGUAGUAGAAGGUGGAGUAGCCUGCUGAGUCAAAACGACACAGCAGGUUUGAGGGAGCCAGAGCCUGGGGAGGGUAGGAUAUACCAGCCAUGGUGCCAUUCGGGCCCCUGAGGUUCAGAUAGACAUCCGGCCGGAAGGGUGAUAAUCAGAACCCUUUAAAAGUCGGCCCAUCCCUAAUUUAAAUAUGCAUUUGAACCCUGCUGCUUUAUUGUACAUGACAGAAUUUUUUAAAUUUUUGUUCAAGCUUAAUACCUCUCGGACAUGGGUCUGUUUGUGACGUGGCAGGAGCGGCGGUGGGCAAAGCUGGGCCGCUUUCGAAACUGGCUUGUGGGAGGGGAGAAAAAGCCCCGUCACCUUCUCACCAGAGUGUGCCAACAAAGACUGGAGACCCAUUGUUCUAGGAACAGUAUAAGUAUGUAGUAAGAGAAGUCCCUGCUUUGAAGAACUUGCAGUCUAAACUAGAUGAGAGGCAGAAGGGGAGCUGGAAGGCCAGAGAGGUGAAGUAAGUUGCCCACGGUCACCAAGCAGGAACCAAGGAAGAGGUUAGCACUGCCCUGAGUCCCGUCUUCAGCCGAGGACGGUUGAGAAGGAACUGAGGGGGGUUCGGGACACGCACGCUCAGGCAGUCCCUGACGACGACACGAGACAGCAGCUAAGCGUGUGCGUCCCGACCAGGCACUGCUACCGAAAAUCUCCAAUCAAUGGCACUGUCACCUGGAGUGGAGCACCGACAGGGACAGCAUUCGAAGAAGAAGAGAACCUUUCCUGAAAGCUCAGAGAAGGGUCUCCAUCCUCCACAGUGGUAGAUUUCCUGGAGGGAGGAGGAGUGGUUGGGCAAUUUACUACCCCUGCUGGUCAGUGUGGGAUCUUCCUGCUGAUAGAGCGGGCACACAGAUGAUGGCUCCUCAUUUUCCACUACUGGCAUCUUGUUUCUAGGAGUCUGACUAGGAAGCCUGCUUUGGUGCAAUGGGGGCCUCUCUGGAGGGCGAUGAUUAUCCCAUCACCGUAAAAUAUAAAAGAGACCAGUCAAUUUACAUCAGAUCCCGACAACCUCAUGGGGAUUUCCCCCCCAGGCACUCUCAAGAACCUCUGAAAUCCCGUGCUGUGGCGGUUAAGACAAACCCAGCGGCUGACCCUUUGGCUCCUGCUGCAUCAGAGGUAGGGCUAAGGCUCUCCUCUGAAGGAGGCAGAAGGUGCCACCCCUCCACUCCCUAGAAGAGACCUGGUAGUAGAAGGUGGAGUAGCCUGCUGAGUCAAAACGACACAGCAGGUUUGAGGGAGCCAGAGCCUGGGGAGGGUAGGAUAUACCAGCCAUGGUGCCAUUCGGGCCCCUGAGGUUCAGAUAGACAUCCGGCCGGAAGGGCGAUAAUCAGAACCCUUUAAAAGUCGGCCCAUCCCUAAUUUAAAUAUGCAUUUGAACCCCGCUGCUUUAUUGUACAUUACAGAAUUUUUAAAAUUUUUGUUCAAGAUUAAUACCUCUCGGACAUGCGGUCUGUUUGUGACGUGGCAGGAGCGGCGGUGGGCAAAGCUGGGCCGCUUUCGAAACUGGCUUGUGGGAGGGGAGAAAAAGCCCCGUCACCUUCUCACCACAGAGGUGAGCAUCCCCAUUCCCAAAGGCAGCGGGGAAGGUGUAAACUGUGCGGUGUACCAGUUAAAGGAGUGGUGAUUUUCAACAGUGAAUGAUUAAAGGGAUAGUGGCAGUGAACACAGGCCCACACUGUUGGUUUUAUGACCCAAAAAGCAAUAUUUGGCCAAACUAGAACUGUUUCCAUGGAUACUUUUUUAAAUUAAAAGAUUCCUGUGGAAAUUUGUAUUUCCCCACCUGAAAACAGCAGCAAGUGUGCUGAUUGGGAAGGAACUGAAAAAUUAAAUUUAUUCUAAACAGCAGCCAAACAGACCACAGUGCAAAAAGGAAAUCAUUAAUGGAACACAAAUUAGAUUCUUAGCUAAAAUCGCUUUAGCUUUAAGGUCCUGGGAAAUUAAUAGGACUACACAGCCUACAAGUCAGGGCAGAGUGGGUCUUUACAAAAUUAUUUAGUGUGUGUUAAAAGAGUUAAGGAAAUUAUGCUUUUUAACGAUGCAUCCAAUUCAUCCCAAAAUAAUCUCCCCUGGCUUUAAGGAUGAAUUUCUCCCCAAUUUAAAAA